rnacentral:rRNA from 1 species
AUGCAAGUCGAGCGGCAGUCCUUCGGGACGAGAGCGGCGAACGGGUGAGUAACACGUGAGUAAUCAACCUAUCGACUGGGGAUAGCCGUUGGAAACGACGGGUAAUACCGAAUACGAUCUGCGUUAUUAAGAUGCAGAUGAAAGGCGGGGAUCUUCGGACCUGUCGACGAUAGACGAGCUCGCGUCCCAUUAGCUGGUUGGCGGGGUAACGGCCCACCAAGGCGAUGAUGGGUAGGGGGUGUGAGAGCAUGGCCCCCCACACUGGGAUUGAGAUACGGCCCAGACUCCUACGGGAGGCAGCAGUGGAGAAUCUUGCACAAUGGGGGCAACCCUGAUGCAGCGACGCCGCGUGGACGAUGAAGGCCCUUCGGGUUGUAAAGUCCUUUUCUAUGGGGAGAAGAUGCGAAGUAGUAACUGACUUUGCAGUGACGGUACCAUAGGAAUCAGUCACGGCUAACUCUGUGCCAGCAGCCGCGGUAAUACAGAGGUGGCAAAUGUUGCUCGGAAUUACUGGGCGUAAAGGACGCGCAGGCGGACUGUUAAGUCAAGAGUGAAAACUUCCGGCUCAACCGGGAGCAUGCUUUUGAAACUGGCGGUCUUGAGACACGUAGGGGAUGACGGAACACCUGGAGUAGCGGUGAAAUGCGUAGAUAUCAGGUGGAACACCGGUGGCGAAGGCGGUCAUCUGGACGAGGUCUGACGCUGAGGCGUGAAAGCCGGGGGAGCAAACAGGAUUAGAUACCCUGGUAGUCCCGGCCCUAAACGGUGAGUGCUAGGUGUAGGGGGUUGAACCUCUGUGCCGCAGCUAACGCAGUAAGCACUCCGCCUGGGGAGUACGGUCGCAAGUCUGAAACUCAAAGGAAUUGACGGGGGCCCGCACAAGCGGUGGAGCAUGUGGUUUAAUUCGAAGCAACGCGAAGAACCUUACCAGGACUUGACAUCCUACGAAUCCUGUAGAGAUACGGGAGUGCCCCGCAAGGGGAAUGUAGAGACAGGUGGUGCACGGCUGUCGUCAGCUCGUGUUGUGAGAUGUUGGGUUAAGUCCCGCAACGAGCGCAACCCUUAUCUUCAGUUGCCAACAGUAAGAUGGGGACUCUGAAGAGACUGCCUGCGUAAGCAGGAGGAAGGUGGGGAUGACGUCAAGUCAUCAUGCCCUUUAUGUCCUGGGCGACACACGUGCUACAAUGGACGGCUCAAAGUGAAGCGAGACGGCGACGUUUAGCGGAUCACAGAAAACCGUCCCUAGUUCGGAUUGCAGUCUGCAACUCGACUGCAUGAAGCUGGAAUCGCUAGUAAUCGCGCAUCAGCCAUGGCGCGGUGAAUACGUUCCCGGGCCUUGUACACACCGCCCGUCACACCACCCGAGUUGGUAUUACCCGAAGCGGCCGGCCUAACCGUA